UUCAAUUCAAUUCAGCUUUAUUUAUGAAGUGCCAGUUACAACAUGGUGGUUUGUAGACACUUGUACAGAGAAACCCAACAGAUCCACAUGAGCAGCAUGAGCCACUGUGGAAAGGAAAAACUUCCUUUUAACAGGAAGAAACCUGCAGAACCAGGACCAGAGGAGGAGACCCC